rnacentral:rRNA from 1 species
CCUACGGGUGGCUGCAGUGGGGGAUAUUGCACAAUGGGGGGAACCCUGAUGCCGCGACGCCGCGUGGGUGAAGGAGCGUUUCGGCGCGUACAGCCCUAUCGGCAGGGAAGAAGGAGGACGGUACCUGACUAAGAAGCCCCGGCUACCUACGUGCCCGCCGCCGCGGUAAUACUGAGGGGGCAAGCGUUAUCCGGAUUUACUGGGUGUAAAGGGGGCGCAGACGGCAGCGCAAGCCAUGAGGGAAAGCCCGGGGCCCAACCCCGGGACUGCUCUUGGAACGGCUCGGCUGGAGUGCAGGAGGGGCAGGCGGAAUUCCUGGUGUAGCGGUGAAAGGCGUAGAUAUCAGGAGGAACACCGGUGGCGAAGGCGGCCUGCUGGACUGCGACUGACGUUGAGGCCCGAAAGCGUGGGGAGCAAACAGGAUUAGAUACCCCAGUAGUC